rnacentral:rRNA from 1 species
GAUGAACGCUAGCGGCAGGCCUAAUACAUGCAAGUCGGACGGGAUCCAUUGAUAGCUUGCUAUCAAUGGUGAGAGUGGCGCACGGGUGCGUAACGCGUGAGCAACCUGCCUCCAUCAGGGGGAUAGCCUCUCGAAAGAGAGAUUAACACCGCAUAAUAUCAACAGUUCGCAUGUUCAGUUGAUUAACUAUUUAUAGGAUGGAGAUGGGCUCGCGUGACAUUAGCUAGUUGGUAGGGUAACGGCUUACCAAGGCGACGAUGUCUAGGGGCUCUGAGAGGAGAAUCCCCCACACUGGUACUGAGACACGGACCAGACUCCUACGGGAGGCAGCAGUAAGGAAUAUUGGUCAAUGGGCGGAAGCCUGAACCAGCCAUGCCGCGUGCAGGAAGACUGCCCUAUGGGUUGUAAACUGCUUUUGUCCAGGAAUAAACCUAAAUACGAGUAUUUAGCUGAAUGUACUGGAAGAAUAAGAAUCGGCUAACUCCGUG